ACUACGGGGGGCUGCAGUGGGGAAUUUUGCGCAAUGCUCGUAAGAGUGACGCAGCGACGCCGCGUGAAUGACGAAGGCCUUCGGGUCGUAAAGUCCUUUCGACAGGGAAGAAAAUGCCUAUAAGCAACUGUGUAUGUGUUGACGGUACCUGUAUAAGCAGCCCCGGCUAACGCCGUGCCAGCAGCCGCGGUAAUACGGAGGGGGCGAGCGUUGUUCGGAGUGACUGGGCGUAAAGGGCACGUAGGCGGUGUUGUAAGUCAUUAGUCAAAGACUAGAGCUCAACUUUAGUAAGGCUAGUGUUACUAUAAUACUAGAGUAGCAGAGAGGAUUGCAGAAUGCCUGGUGUAGCGGUGAAAUGCGUAGAUAUCAGGAGGAAUACCGUUAGCGAAGGCGGCAAUCUGGCUGGAAACUGACGCUGAGGUGCGAAAGCGUGGGUAGCAAACAGGAUUAGAUACCCGGGUAGUA
rnacentral:rRNA from 1 species